rnacentral:lncRNA from 10 species
GCUGUGCCUUGUAAGAGAAACUCCUAGAAUCAGAGCCCUGCAGAAGCAGCAACCACCAGUGAUAGGGAAGAUGGCUGGAGCCGGGGCAGAGCCAAGAGGAAGCAGCAGCAGCAGCAGCAGCCACAUGGAAACCAUGGGGAAAACAGAAACCAGAGGGAAGGAGCGUAGCCCUCCCUGGCCACACACAUGGCUCACCUGGAACUUCUGUGGUCCCCACUGCCUGCCCAAUGUGACAGUCAGCAGAAGCUUAGCUCCAAACCCAUGCCUGUGAGGUUGGACUCCAGACUUGAUGGAGUAUACGUAUCCAAUGGCAACUCAAAGGGGAAAUAUUAAGAGUGACAAAAAGGAGAUUCUCCAACCAGGGACUAUUAUCUUCAUGCCUCUUGGAUAUUGCUUAUUAAACCAAAAGGUAACUGAC